GGGUUGUGAGGUUAAGCGACUAAGCGUACACGGUGGAUGCCCUGGCAGUCAGAGGCGAUGAAGGACGUGCUAAUCUGCGAAAAGCGUCGGUAAGGUGAUAUGAACCGUUAUAGCCGGCGAUGUCCGAAUGGGGAAACCCAGUGCAAU
rnacentral:rRNA from 1 species